GAUGAAGAACGCAGCGAAAUGCGAUAAGUAAUGUGAAUUGCAGAAUUCAGUGAAUCAUCGAAUCUUUGAACGCACAUUGCGCCCGCCAGUAUUCUGGCGGGCAUGCCUGUCUGAGCGUCAUUUCAACCCUCAAGCAACUUCUGCUUGGUGUUGGGGAUCGGCCGUCAAACGCCGCCCCCGAAAUCUAUUGGCGAUCUCGCUGUAGCUUCCUAUGCGUAGUAGUAACAUCUCGCAUCUGGAGAGCGGCGCGGUCAUGCCGUAAAACACCCAACUUCUCAGGUUGACCACAGAUCAGGUAGGAAUACCCGCUGAACUUAAGCAUAUCAAUAAGCGGAGGA
rnacentral:misc_RNA from 1 species